GUUUGAUCCUGGCUCAGGAUGAACGCUAGCGGCAGGCUUAACACAUGCAAGUCGAGGGGCAGCAUAAUGGAUAGCAAUAUCUAUGGUGGCGACCGGCGCACGGGUGCGUAACGCGUAUGCAACCUACCUUUAACAGGGGGAUAACACUGAGAAAUUGGUACUAAUACCCCAUAAUAUCAUAGAAGGCAUCUUUUAUGGUUGAAAAUUCCGAUGGUUAGAGAUGGGCAUGCGUUGUAUUAGCUAGUUGGUGGGGUAACGGCUCACCAAGGCGACGAUACAUAGGGGGACUGAGAGGUUAACCCCCCACACUGGUACUGAGACACGGACCAGACUCCUACGGGAGGCAGCAGUGAGGAAUAUUGGUCAAUGGACGCAAGUCUGAACCAGCCAUGCCGCGUGCAGGAUGACGGCUCUAUGAGUUGUAAACUGCUUUUGUACGAGGGUAAACGCAGAUACGUGUAUCUGUCUGAAAGUAUCGUACGAAUAAGGAUCGGCUAACUCCGUGCCAGCAGCCGCGGUAAUACGGAGGAUUCAAGCGUUAUCCGGAUUUAUUGGGUUUAAAGGGUGCGUAGGCGGUUUGAUAAGUUAGAGGUGAAAUUUCGGGGCUCAACCCUGAACGUGCCUCUAAUACUG
rnacentral:rRNA from 1 species